AUAAUGUAAUUAAUCGAUGAAAUUAUAUGUUUUUGUCCAUACAUCCGAAUUUUAAUGAAUUUUCUUCAAAAUUCGUAGUAUUUCUAGUGCAAUUGUAUUGGCGUACUUUGAAGCUAAAAUUUGUGGAUCAAGCGACUACGAUAAAAUC